rnacentral:tRNA from 1 species
UCGUCGAUGCCCGAGCGGUUAAUGGGGACGGACUAUAAAUUCGUUGACGAUAUGUCUACGCUGGUUCAAAUCUAGCUCGGCCCA